GACGUAGGGCGCGAGCGUUGUCCGGAUUUAUUGGGCCUAAAGCAUCCGUAGCCGGUUCUACAAGUCUUCCGUUAAAUCCAGCUGCUUAACAGAUGGGCUGCGGAAGAUACUAUGGAGCUAGGAGGCGGGAGAGGCAAGCGGUACUCGAUGGGUAGGGGUAAAAUCCGUUGAUCCAUUGAAGACCACCAGUGGCGAAGGCGGCUUGCCAGAACGCGCUCGACGGUGAGGGAUGAAAGCUGGGGGAGCAAACCGG
rnacentral:rRNA from 1 species